rnacentral:rRNA from 1 species
UUAAAUUGAAGAGUUUGAUCAUGGCUCAGAUUGAACGCUGGCGGCAGGCCUAACACAUGCAAGUCGAACGGUAACAGGAAGCAGCUUGCUGCUUUGCUGACGAGUGGCGGACGGGUGAGUAAUGUCUGGGAAACUGCCNUGAUGGAGGGGGAUAACUACUGGAAACGGUAGCUAAUACCGCAUAACGUCGCAAGACCAAAGAGGGGGACCUUMGGGCCUCUUGCCAUCGGAUGUGCCCAGAUGGGAUUAGCUAGUAGGUGGGGUAACGGCUCACCUAGGCGACGAUCCCUAGCUGGUCUGAGAGGAUGACCAGCCACACUGGAACUGAGACACGGUCCAGACUCCUACGGGAGGCAGCAGUGGGGAAUAUUGCACAAUGGGCGCAAGCCUGAUGCAGCCAUGCCGCGUGUAUGAAGAAGGCCUUCGGGUUGUAAAGUACUUUCAGCGGGGAGGAAGGGAGUAAAGUUAAUACCUUUGCUCAUUGACGUUACCCGCAGAAGAAGCACCGGCUAACUCCGUGCCAGCAGCCGCGGUAAUACGGAGGGUGCAAGCGUUAAUCGGAAUUACUGGGCGUAAAGCGCACGCAGGCGGUUUGUUAAGUCAGAUGUGAAAUCCCCGGGCUCAACCUGGGAACUGCAUCUGAUACUGGCAAGCUUGAGUCUCGUAGAGGGGGGUAGAAUUCCAGGUGUAGCGGUGAAAUGCGUAGAGAUCUGGAGGAAUACCGGUGGCGAAGGCGGCCCCCUGGACGAAGACUGACGCUCAGGUGCGAAAGCGUGGGGAGCAAACAGGAUUAGAUACCCUGGUAGUCCACGCCGUAAACGAUGUCGACUUGGAGGUUGUGCCCUUGAGGCGUGGCUUCCGGAGCUAACGCGUUAAGUCGACCGCCUGGGGAGUACGGCCGCAAGGUUAAAACUCAAAUGAAUUGACGGGGGCCCGCACAAGCGGUGGAGCAUGUGGUUUAAUUCGAUGCAACGCGAAGAACCUUACCUGGUCUUGACAUCCACGGAAGUUUUCAGAGAUGAGAAUGUGCCUUCGGGAACCGUGAGACAGGUGCUGCAUGGCUGUCGUCAGCUCGUGUUGUGAAAUGUUGGGUUAAGUCCCGCAACGAGCGCAACCCUUAUCCUUUGUUGCCAGCGGUCCGGCCGGGAACUCAAAGGAGACUGCCAGUGAUAAACUGGAGGAAGGUGGGGAUGACGUCAAGUCAUCAUGGCCCUUACGACCAGGGCUACACACGUGCUACAAUGGCGCAUACAAAGAGAAGCGACCUCGCGAGAGCAAGCGGACCUCAUAAAGUGCGUCGUAGUCCGGAUUGGAGUCUGCAACUCGACUCCAUGAAGUCGGAAUCGCUAGUAAUCGUGGAUCAGAAUGCCACGGUGAAUACGUUCCCGGGCCUUGUACACACCGCCCGUCACACCAUGGGAGUGGGUUGCAAAAGAAGUAGGUAGCUUAACCUUCGGGAGGGCGCUUACCACUUUGUGAUUCAUGACUGGGGUGAAGUCGUAACAAGGUAACCGUAGGGGAACCUGCGGUUGGAUCACCUCCUUACCUUAAAGAAGC